ensembl:lncRNA
CUCAGCUUCUAGGUCACUGGGGACUGUCAUAAAUACUUUCCCUUUCCCUCCUGGAAAGCAGAGGCUGAGCAGGCCAUAUCCGCUCUGGGGCCUGCGCCUUAUCUUUUAGGGGGUGGGGGGAUAUCUCAACAUUUUAUGGGCCAGUGAAAAUCCUGCCACAGAGCUAUCCUUCCGGGCCUUUGUGUCUUGGAAUGCAACUGUCCAGAGUGUGCUUCAUGCAUCGCCUGCUUUGAGAGCCCACCAGUCCCCAAAGCCCCGACUGGACUUGAUUUCCCCUUUCAAGGGUCCCUCGCCUUUUCUCUCUUUAGUUCAUUUGAUUGUUUGUUUUUUACAUGUUUCUGGUUGAUUAUGCUCCUGGAGCCUGGAAAUAAAGGAACCGCAAGCAGCCAUCCUUGCUGGGGCGUCUCCGUCCCUCGCCCCGAGGCCUGCACCGCCCUCCUAGGGACUCCAUCGAGCUACCAGGAGACUCACAGGCAGCCAGCCAAGGAAGGCACAGGCGGCACCCGGGCCUCAGCAGCCUCCACCACCCCCCUGGAGCCUCUCAGC